rnacentral:rRNA from 1 species
UACGUAGGGUGCAAGCGUUAAUCGGAAUUACUGGGCGUAAAGCGCGUGUAGGCGGCCAGAAAAGUCCGCUGUGAAAACUCGAGGCUCAACUUCGAGCUGUCGGUGGAAACUUUCUGGCUAGAGUCCGGAAGAGGAGAAUGGAAUUCCUGGUGUAGCGGUGAAAUGCGCAGAUAUCAGGAAGAACACCCGUGGCGAAGGCGGUUCUCUGGGACGGUACUGACGCUGAGACGCGAAAGCGUGGGGAGCGAACAGG